UACCCCAAGCGAGUUCUCUCACUCGGGGGGUCACUGGGUUAUCGUCUCCUCCAAUUUCAGACCGGAAAAAUGGUCGGAGAAGCUCCGUUCUCCGCCGCCGCAUUUUGGCUCGUUUAGGCACGUGGAGAAAGCAGCGGUGCAUUGUUCUGUGAAUCAUUUUCUUGAACUAGCCAUCACCCGCUACCAACAACGUCUUGCCAUCUGAAUGGUCGAAGAAGACCGGAGAACAGGUCCCGAAGGAAAGUAAAAAUCCUUUGCACUAUUUGCUUCUUCACAGCUCAUCUAGACUACAGGAGCCAUGAUUAGAUGUUCAUUUAUUUCAACAAUUCUACUUCCUUCAAGGAUCAUCAAAUGAAAUAAAAUCAUAGGUUGAUUAACCAUGGAUGAGUAACAUUUCUUCAUAAUGCGGAGAUGCUUUACAUAAAUUUUGCUUUAUACAUCAAAGGCUUUGAGUUAUACAUAUUGGCAUUGCAAAAAUGCAGGUACACUAAGGUAGUUAACACCAGAAACAUGUUUUUUGUUCAGGAGCAGAAACAUAAUCUAUUAAGGGUGUCUCAGCCUUUGUGCUUUGAGAGUCUAGAAGAUUCUAGAGCUCUUGUCUGAAGAUCAUGGCUCUGUUGUUCUUAAUCCUUAGGGUCUUCCCCCAAGAUGACUUCCGGCUCAAGACACUCGAAAAGCUCUGGUACGUCAGAUGUCUAUGGUAUUUGCAUCCGCAUAAAUAAUCUCCACCAUUUCAGAGCCUGAGCUCGAAGCCAAGCGCCCAAACGGACGAAUGCUCUUUUUGCCAUCGUUGUGGUGACAUGGUUGAAGAACUUGCUCCUCACUCCUUGUAAUCAGAGUGAUCUUCAUUAAAGAUUUGCCUCUCUCUUCCUUCAAGGGGAAAGUCUUACACUAUCACCUAUGGGACACUCUCAAACAAACUCCCAUCAUAUGCAGAAAAGGUUUUGUCCGACGCACCGAGCUCUCUCUACAUGUCUCCUAGUGUAAGUCAAACUGUCCGGAUGCUUAUCAGAUAGAUGAGCAGAAGGAGGAAGAAGAACUGCUUUCUCCACGGGAGAACUUCUUGUUGAGAUAAAAAAAAAAUGAUCAUGCAGCACCAAAGCUACAUCGAACAAAGACGUGAAAACGAUGCAGACAACAUGUUUGGGUUGUGGUAAUAUACAAUCUCGAUCGCCUAUACUUGGUUGUUUAGAGGCAUGCUAGAGGAGCGAGUAGUCAUUUCUCUCUUGGUAAAACCUAAACUAGAAUCAUUGAGAGACCCAUAAAACAUAAAGUUUCUAUAAGAAAGUGAUCUUUAAAAAACUCAUGAGACUGCCACUGACAUAUAUUGUUUUCACCAUCACAGAAAAUAUCAUUCUCUUUAUGUAGAGCAGUUUGUAUAUAAAGUUCAUAACCACUUCUAUUUAUCCAAGUAAAAAAACUUAUAUUGUACGUUUUCUAAAGUUGAUGUUGGUGACAUGAGCUGAAGCCUAGUAGAAGAUAAAUGAAAGUGUAUUUUCGGUUUGUAUAUGGACUGAAUGAUGUGCAUAUAACAGUUUGAAGCAAGAACUGGUCGAGUUGGGAAACUCGUGAUUGCAAACCUCGUAUAAGCUCACAGCGACGCAGUAACGUUCCUCCACUAAAGCGGCAGAGCGUUCUCGUGCUUCUUGUCUCUUUUUCUUCUUCAAAGAUUCAACGUUUAUAUACCCAAUCUUCCUGAAAUGCUACUUUGCCUUGGAGUUUUGUUGUCUCGAAUUGGAGCUUUUGUGUUGCAUAAUGGCUGCCUUUUCCUCGCGAAGGAUGACUACCAGGUUUUGGACGGGCGAAACAUCAGUGAAUGGGAACCCAUAAACCAAAUCUUCUCCCUCUAUUGAGCCUCUUAGGGUGCUGCAGUAAUGUUCAGUCCACAAGAACUGGUUUGUCGUUGUUGAUAUUUGGAUCAACAAGUUAUUGUUACCUUCAAGACUUGACUUGAGAACUUGUAGACAGAUGGUGCAACAGAUGACAAUUCAGAUGCAUUGUCUGAACCAUAUGAUGAUAAUGAAUUGAACAUCUAGGACAGGUAGACAUUUCGGUUUCGAUC